AGGCCAAUCCGCAAAUGAAGUUUCUGGGCCAGUAACUUGGUUUCAGCAAAACCUAUUAUUGGGCCUCCAUCUAAAAUGAACUGCCCAUGUACAUAUCAUUUGCUUGCUAAAAACUGCAGUGGCAGUGACACCACUUUCAAACCUAACUCUCUCUCUCUCUCUCUCUCUCUCUCAAGUGUGUGUGUGUGAGAGAGAGAGAGAGAUAGAAAUGAAUCUCAAAAUUAUAUGUAAAUCGAAUGUCCCAAUCUUUGGUCCACUUCUCCUUUUCUGCAAGUUCCGUACAAGAGUGUUUUGAAAUGGAUUGAUGACACAAAUGAUGCCACAGAACCUCAUUUCCAUGAAGUACAAAAACUUUGCCUGAUUGGAAAGCUAUAUUGCUCGGAUUCUCUAAAACUGUUGUCGUACCUGUCUCAGAUCCUCUGAAAAUGCAAUACCUUCGGAGGAUCAGACUCGGACCAGCAACAUUUUGGAAGAGGCCGAGCAACAUAGUUGGAAAGCAGAUUGUGCAAACAUCAGUGCAAGGAUGGUAAUAUGUCUCAGAGUUGCUCGAUAUCUAUGCUUGUGGGAGGUAGCUGGCCCGGAAAGAAUGGUAAUAUGUCCCGUUCUUUUUAGGGGAAAUCGGAACAGACAGGCGAAGAAGGGUCUAGCGUAGCUAGAGUAGUAAAAAGUAUGAUUUAUCAAGCUCCGUCAUAUCAAGGAAGGCAUGUUUCACAAUGGUCUGAGUUGACACGUCACUCUCAGUAACCUAUCCUAAAAGGACGCCACUCAUAUAACGGGAAUCUAUGUCGUGGGAAAAGCCAAGUUAACGAUUUUAAGAGCUAGGGCGUUCGGAUCCUUCUGCUUCAUCAUGCUCAAAAUUGACAGAGUCCCCGUUUUUUCAUGAUACAACGGAGCCUCGGUCAAUUUUUGAACGUGACGAAGCAGAAGGAUGCUGACGCCCUUGCUCUUAAGCUUGCUAACUUUCUUGACUCUUCUCGAGAUGUUGAUUCAUGUAAUAUGUGUGGGGUCCUAUUCCCAAGGUUAGCCAUUUAUAAUGGCUUGUGAACUAAGUCAUUCUUAGUAACCUACCCAAAAGGAGGACACCAUGCAUAUAACGGGAAUCUCUGUCAUGGGAAGAGCUAAGUAAGUUAGCAAGCUUAAGAGCUAGGGUGUUGGGAUCCUUCUGCUUCAUCAUGUUCAAAGUUGACAGAGUCCAUUUUUUCAUGAUAUUAACGGAGCUUCAGUCAAUUUUGAACGUGACGAAAGCAGAAGGAUCCCGACUCCCUCGCUCUUAAGCUUGCUAACUUUUUGGUUCUUCCUACGACAUUGAUUCAUAUGAUAUGUCUCGUGUCCUAAUUUCAAGGUUGGUCAUUAAGAAUGACUCGUAUCUCGGGAAUCUAUGUCUUGGGAAGAGCCAAGUAAGUUAACAAUUUUAAGAGCUAUGGCGUUCGGAUCCUUCUGCUUCAUUAUGCUCAAAAUUGACAGAGUCCCCGUUUUCUCAUGAUAUCAAUGGAGCCUCAGUCAAUUUUUUAACGUGACGAAGCAGAAGGAUACUGACGCCCUUGUCUUAAGUUUGCUAACUUUCUUGGCUCUUCCCAUGAUAUUGAUUCAUGUCAUAUAUGUGUGAUGUCCUCCUUUGAGGAUUAGUCAUUGAGAAUGCGAAAUAGUUCUUCACAUGGCUGUUUUAAACAUUUAAUUUUCUCUCUAAAUGACUCACUUGAACUAUUACUUUACCAUUCUUGUAUUGAUGUUUGUUAAUUCAUGGCUGUACAUGAUGGGAUUACUAUAAUUUUCUA